rnacentral:snRNA from 1 species
AUGCUUACCUGACAGGAGAGAUAUCCUGAUCAUGACAGGGGUUUUCCCAAGUCAAGGUCAAGGUUUAUACAUUGCACUCCAGAUGUGGGAAUCCCAACUGCAUAAUUUGGGGCAGUAGGGAACUGUGUUUGUGCUCUCCUCU